CCCCUCUCAGAGUCGUAUCCUAAGAGUUUCCAGUACUCUACCAGUCUCAGCUAUGGGAGGGAGAGCCAAGCAGAGGCAGAUCCAUUCCAUUCCUAGCUUGGGCAGUAGCUAGCGAGUGGAAGGCAAUCUGCUUCAAGU